rnacentral:rRNA from 1 species
AUGAACCGGCAAUGGAUGUACGGUGACAGACACACCUCCGAGUACAUUAAGGGCGUGCAUGAUUUUCUCGAAGUGGCUGAGGCAAACAAGCAGAAUGGUUUUAUGUGUUGUCCAUGCCCUAUAUGUGGGAAUACGAAGUCUUACUCUGACCGGAAAAUCCUUCACACCCACCUGCUUUACAAGGGUUUCAUGCCACACUAUAAUGUUUGGACGAGGCACGGAGAAAUAGGGGUUAUGAUGGAAGACGGCGAAGAAGAAGAGGACGGUGACAACUAUGUGCCCCCUGAAUACGGUGAUGCUGCAACGGGGGAAGCUGCUGAAGAUCAAGAGGAACCAGACGAUGUGCCCAAUGAUGCUGCAAGGGAGGAAGCUGCUGAAGAUCAAGAGGAACCAGUGCCCGAUGAUGAUGAUCUCCGCUGA